rnacentral:lncRNA from 1 species
GGGGUCUUAAGUUUACGACAAAAGUUAUGACAAAUCGUAACUUAGUACAUGUCCUAAGACCUUUGUAAGACAUGUCUUAAUCAUAAGAUACUUUCGAAAACCAGGUACCAGAGGAUUAAGUUGAGACAAUUUUUAUAAAAGAUUACAAGCAUUUACCUAAAAAUGACUAUAAAAAUAACUCCUCAAUGGGUCAAUCGACAAUUUUGGUCAUAAUGAAUUAUUUGAUGAUCGUACUUUGCUGAACAUAUUUCAGGGAAAGCAACCCAACAACGGGAUGUCUGAAUUGUCUUAAAAUUUCAGGGCGGACAUUUCCUAACCUGAAUACCCUUGUGAUGAUUGUGGCAAACUUUUGUUAAAUUUGGCCCAUAAGUUUCAGAAAAGAAGAUUUUGUAAAAUUUAACGGAAGACGACGAACGCCAAGUGAUGAGAACAAAAAAAAAAGAACAUAUUCCUUCAACGAGUAAUAUUAGUUCUUUUCCUCCUUCAAAAGUACUAUAGUUGUCUACAAGUUCAGUAAGAAUGACGAUUAAAACCAUCACGUUCUACUAAAAAGAUAGGUAUAUGGAUAGAUAGAUAAAUACAUUUAUUUUCUAAAAAAAACUAAUACACAAGUAUAUAUACAAAGUACAAUAUAAAUACAAAUACAAUAGUUGAGUAAAACAGAUGCAGUAUGAUAAUGUAUAAGGAAGCACAUCUUUAUAAUGACACACUUGUAUAAUAAACAGUUAAACUAAAUAUGAAGUCUGGUUCAUUUAGUUUAUAUGGAGGGAAUAAUCUUUUUAUAAAUACACUUAAUGAGUGCACACAGUUUUCUUAAAACUAAUAUGUUUGUAGUACUCAACAAUGGAAAAAUAUACAUAUGCUGAUGGAUACUUAUUGUAAAAAGACCAGGAUAAAAUGUUCAAAAGAACAUCAACAUUUAGACAUACACUUACUGUGAUCAAAUUGUUAAAUAUGCCUUGCAUUGUAUAAUGAAAGGAGCAAUUAUAACGAUAGUCAAUUAAACAUCAAUAACUGUUUACCCUUUUGAAGUAAAUAACCUUAUUCUGGUCAUUUGGUGGGUUUACGUUGUUUAGUCUCAAAUUUUCUGUGUAUCAUGGUGGACUUCUGUCGUUUGUUUUGCUAUUUGCUAUUUAAUUGCUCCUUUGCUACCUUAAGGAUGUAAAGGUGAGGUUUUGGAAUAAGUGUCAAAUGUUAGGACUUCUCAGUGUUUUUCUAUACGACACAAGGUAAAAUCUUUUGCCGCAUAACACCUAUUUAUUUUGUUUACGUAAGAAGUAAUCACUCAUAAAAGGUCGUUUAACAAAAUUUAAGCAGAUUCUUGAUUUUCUUUCUGUUGAUUUGAGACCCAAAUAAUACCAAUGCAUAUAUAAGAUAAAAGUCUGAGUCAGCCUUUUCCCGCCAUAUUUUAAAAAUCAAAUAUCUGGAAAAGGAGCUCACUGACCUCUCAAUAUGUUUAGCUUAUUUUGAUCCUUAAAUAAAACUCUUCCAGCUUAAGCUUCAAUUUUGAAUUCUUGAAUUAUUUAAUUUUACCUUAG